UACGAAGGGGGCUAGCGUUGCUCGGAAUCACUGGGCGUAAAGGGUGCGUAGGCGGGUCUUUAAGUCAGGGGUGAAAUCCUGGAGCUCAACUCCAGAACUGCCUUUGAUACUGAAGAUCUUGAGUUCGGGAGAGGUGAGUGGAACUGCGAGUGUAGAGGUGAAAUUCGUAGAUAUUCGCAAGAACACCAGUGGCGAAGGCGGCUCACUGGCCCGAUACUGACGCUGAGGCACGAAAGCUAGGGGAGCGAAUGGG
rnacentral:rRNA from 1 species